ensembl:snRNA U6 U6 spliceosomal RNA
GUGUUUACUUUGGCAGUACAUAUACUAAAAUUGGAAUAACACAGAGAAGAUUAGCUUGGCCCCUGCUCAACAAUGACACACAAAUUUAUGAAGCAUUCUUUCUUUUU